ACGGCUCAGUAACRCGUAGUCAAUCUGCCCUAUGGACGUGGAUAACCUCGGGAAACUGAGAAUAAUCCGCGAUAGAUCAUAAUGCCUGGAACGGUUUAUGGUCCAAAUGAUUCGUCGCCAUAGGAUGGGACUGCGGCCUAUCAGCUUGUUGGUGAGGUAAUGGCCCACCAAGGCUAUUACAGGUACGGGCUCUGAGAGGAGAAGCCCGGAGAUGGGUACUGAGACACGGACCCAGGCCCUAUGGGGCGCAGCAGGCGAGAAACCUUUGCAAUGUGCGCAAGCACGACAAGGUUAAUCCGAGUGUUUCCUGCUAAAGGAAUCUUUUGUUAGUUCUAAAACCACUGAUGAAUAAGGGGUGGGCAAGUUCUGGUGUCAGCCGCCGCGGUAAAACCAGCACCUCAAGUGGUCAGGAGGAUUAUUGGGCCUAAAGCAUCCGUAGCCGGUUCUGUAAGUUUCCGGUUAAAUCCACUAGCUCAACUAAUGGGCUGCCGGAAAUACUGCAGAACUAGGGAGUGGGAGAGGUAGACGGUACUCGGGAGGAAGGGGUAAAAUCCUUUGAUCUCUUGAUGACCACCUGUGGCGAAGGCGGUCUACCAGAACACGUUCGACGGUGAGGGAUGAAAGCUGGGGGAGCAAACCGGAUUAGAUACCCGGGUAGUCCCAGCUGUAAACGAUGCAGACUCGGUGAUGCACUGGCUUUCGGCCAGUGCAGUGCCGCAGGGAAGCCGUUAAGUUUGCCGCCUGGGAAGUACGUACGCAAGUAUGAAACUUAAAGGAAUUGGCGGGGGAGCAC
rnacentral:rRNA from 1 species